CAGCAGGCGCGAAAACUUUACAAUGCUGGCAACAGCGAUAAGGGGACCUCGAGUGCCAGGUUACAAAUCUGGCUGUCGUGAUGCCUAAAAAGCAUUGCAUAGCAAGGGCCGGGCAAGACCGGUGCCAGCCGCCGCGGUAACACCGGCGGCUCGAGUGGUAACCGUUAUUAUUGGGUCUAAAGGGUCUGUAGCCGGCCGGAUAAGUCUCUUGGGAAAUCUGGCAGCUUAACUGUCAGGCUUUCAGGAGAUACUGUCUGGCUCGAGGCCGGGAGAGGUGAGAGGUACUUCAGGGGUAGGGGUGAAAUCUUGUAAUCCUUGAAGGACCACCAGUGGCGAAGGCGUCUCACCAGAACGGACCUGACGGCAAGGGACGAAAGCUAGGGGCACGAACCGGAUUAGAUACCCGGGUAGUCCUAGCCGUAAACGAUACUCGCUAGGUGUCGGCCACGGUGCGACCGUUGUCGGUGCCGUAGGGAAGCCGUGAAGCGAGCCACCUGGGAAGUACGGCCGCAAGGCUGAAACUUAAAGGAAUUGGCGGGGGAGCAC
rnacentral:rRNA from 1 species